rnacentral:rRNA from 1 species
AACGAACGCUGGCGGCAGGCUUAACACAUGCAAGUCGAACGCAUCCUUCGGGGUGAGUGGCAGACGGGUGAGUAACGCGUGGGAACGUGCCCUUCAGUUCGGGAUAACCCAGGGAAACUUGGGCUAAUACCGGAUACGUGCGAGAGCAGAAAGAUUUAUCGCUGAAGGAUCGGCCCGCGUCUGAUUAGCUAGUUGGUGGGGUAAUGGCCCACCAAGGCGACGAUCAGUAGCUGGUCUGAGAGGAUGAUCAGCCACAUUGGGACUGAGACACGGCCCAAACUCCGACGGGAGGCAGCAGGGGGGAAUAUUGGACAAUGGGCGCAAGCCUGAUCCAGCCAUGCCGCGUGAGUGAUGAAGGCCUUAGGGUUGUAAAGCUCUUUCGUCCGGGACGAUAAUGACGGUACCGGAAGAAGAAGCCCCGGCUAACUUCGUGCCAGCAGCCGCCGUAA